AUUGAACGCUGGCGGCAGGCUUAACACAUGCAGGUCGGACGGUAACAGGGAGGAAGCUUGCUUUUCUUUGCUGACGAGUGGCGGACGGGUGAGUAAUGCUUGGGAAUCUGUUUUAUGGAGGGGGAUAACUACGGGAAACUGUAGCUAAUACCGCGUAAUAUCGAGAGAUUAAAGUGUGGGACCGUAAGGCCACAUGCCAUAGAGUGAGCCCAAGUGGGAUUAGGUAGUUGGUGGGGUAAAGGCCUACCAAGCCGUCGAUCUCUAGCUGGUCUGAGAGGAUGACCAGCCACACUGGGACUGAGACACGGCCCAGACUCCUACGGGAGGCAGCAGUGGGGAAUAUUGCACAAUGGGCGCAAGCCUGAUGCAGCCAUGCCGCGUGAAUGAAGAAGGCCUUCGGGUUGUAAAGUUCUUUCGGUGGUGAGGAAGGUUGUAAUGUUAAUAGCAUUAUAAUUUGACGUUAGCCACAGAAGAAGCACCGGCUAACUCCGUGCCAGCAGCCGCGGUAAUACGGAGGGUGCGAGCGUUAAUCGGAAUAACUGGGCGUAGAGGGCACGCAGGCGGAUACUUAAGUGAGGUGUGAAAGCCCUGGGCUUAACCUAGGAAUUGCAUUUCAUACUGGGUAUCUAGAGUAUUUUAGGGAGGGGUAGAAUUCCACGUGUAGCGGUGAAAUGCGUAGAGAUGUGGAGGAAUACCGAAGGCGAAGGCAGCCCCUUGGGGGAAUACUGACGCUCAUGUGCGAAAGCGUGGGGAGCAAACAGG
rnacentral:rRNA from 1 species